UACAGAGGUCUCAAGCGUUGUUCGGAUUCAUUGGGCGUAAAGGGUGUGUAGGUGGCGCGCUAAGUCGGGGGUGAAAUCCUGGAGCUCAACUCCAGAACUGCCUUCGAUACUGGCGAUCUUGAGUCCGGAAGAGGUGAGUGGAACUCCUAGUGUAGAGGUGGAAUUCGUAGAUAUUAGGAAGAACACCAGUGGCGAAGGCGGCUCACUGGUCCGGUACUGACGCUGAGGUGCGAAAGCGUGGGGAGCAAACAGG
rnacentral:rRNA from 1 species